UACGUAGGGUGCAAGCGUUGUCCGGAUUUAUUGGGUUUAAAGGGUGCGUAGGCGGUUAAUUAAGUUAGGGGUGAAAGUUUUCGGCUUAACCGGAAAAUUGCCUUUAAUACUGGUUAGCUGGGAUGCGGUUGAGGUAAGCGGAAUUGGUGGUGUAGCGGUGAAAUGCUUAGAUACCAUCAGGAACACCGAUUGCGAAGGCAGCUUACUAAGCCGUUAUUGACGCUGAGGCACGAAAGCGUGGGGAUCAAACAGGAUUAGAUACCCCCGUAGUCC
rnacentral:rRNA from 1 species